CCGAAAAGUCGUCGUACACUGAGUCAUUUUGUUUUGUGUUAUCGUCGGCGAUUUAUGCUUUUAAUUUAUUUAUUGGUUGUCAAUGAUAUAUGGUUUUAUAUCGUACUAUUAAGUAGGUGCAGCGCUAGAGAGUGCUUCAAUAAGGCCAGAAUGGGAUUUUUUGGCUUGUUUUAUCGUCUGCCAGUUGAUACUAUUACUUAGUAAAGUACUACUCUCCUUAACAAGAAGCAUGAAUUGAGGAGCCAUUCAUGUCUGAAGCACAAACACUUCAGGACAAGUUGCAUGCAGAAGUUACCUUCAGAAACAAAUUCUCGCCUGAGAGCAGAGAGAGGCCUGGAUUCGUCCCUGGCUCUCGAAGCCUUUCACUGGAGCAAAUCCUCCUCAGGAUGUACAAGUGAUUAUGGGUAAUUACGUGUGGAGAAUGGACACUCAAGGAGAGCCGAGUGUUUAGAGCCUGUCAGUCAAAAUGCAUCACAGGAAACAGAGAAGAAACGAAAACAAGGGCUUUCAUGAAGCUACAUACAUUCACACUGUUGUGAAGAGCGCUCUUAAAACCUCCUUGAUGCCUGUGUGAGGAAGAAGAAAAGAAGUACAGAGCCUUGGGAUCCUUGCUGCUUCAAGGCUUGUUUGUCUUCCCCCAGUCUGUGUGCUUGUCAGAAGUUGUGGCAGAACCAUCACAGAUGAGUGCGAGGGAGAAACCGUGGCCACGUCCUCCAGAGAAGAGCAAAUAUUUCUGUAGGUGGUUGCAGAAAAUAUUGGACUAGUGGAAAGAGGGCAAGAUAAGGAAAGCACUGACAGGAGAUCUAUUCACUUUCUAGGCUCUAAAGGGUUGCAGGUAAACAGAGUGUCAAUCAUCAGGAUUAGUUCACACAGAAAUGCGCCGCUACUCUUUGUUGCACGCUUGGGGGGAACUUUGCAGCGAUGUCAUCCACUGUGUCUGUGCCAGAUUUCAAAAGCUGCAAUAUCAUGAUUGGGAAUGUAAACAAUUUAUUCACCCUGUAAAUGUGUGCAAAAAAAAAAAAGAAGCACACUAAAUAUGCUUGUCUCAUAAUUACAGAAUUAAUUCAGCCAAAAACUAAAAAUCUGUCAUUGUUUAUUCACCCUCACGUGAUUUCAAAACCUUUUUUUUCAUUUUUUCAUUUAACAAAUUUUUAAGACUGUUCAUCUCUACAGUAAGUUAAGUUUCUUUUUGUCUUCCAUAGAACUGCUGUUUAUGGGUUUGGGAUGUGAUUAAUCAGUGGUCAAUCUAAUUUAGCAAUUCUUGUUUAAUCAAUUUCAGUUAGUGUAAUUAUAAUCAACUAAAACCAUUAAAAAAAUGUUACCUGAAAUAAAGUAUUAAAUCUUGAACGUUAUUUUUUUCAGUUAGCUGACAAGUAAAUGUCUCUUUGUUAUUUAGUUUAACUUGAUGUACUAAA